rnacentral:rRNA from 1 species
CGUUCCCGGGUCUUGUACACACCGCCCGUCACACCAUGGGAGCGGGUUUUACCAGAAGUAGGUAGCUUAACCGCAAGGAGGGCGCUUACCACGGUAGGAUUCGUGACUGGGGUGAAGUCGUAAACAAGGUACC